rnacentral:rRNA from 1 species
GACGAACCGUCCAAACGUUAUUCGGAAUCACUGGGCUUAAAGGGUGCGUAGGCGGCGCGGCAAGUUGGGUGUGAAAUACCUCGCUACCUGACGGAAGACUGCGCCCAAAACUGCCGUGCUUGAGGAAGAUAGAGGUGAGCGGAACUUAGGGUGGAGCGGUGAAAUGCGUUGAUAUCCUAAGGAACACCGGUGGCGAAAGCGGCUCACUGGGGAUUUUCUGACGCUAAGGGACGAAAGCCAGGGAGCGAACGGG